rnacentral:lncRNA from 1 species
GGAACUAUUUUUUAAAAUAAAUUAGAUUGUGUCCUGCCAUCAGAGCCAUGGAACUGGGCUCAAAAGUCCAAAAAUUACUGUGAUAUCAACCUGAAUACUGGUUGGUCCUGAAUAAAUAUUUGUUGAAUUAAUGAGGAACUAUUUUUUAAAAUAAAUUAGAUUGUGUCCUGCCAUCAGAGCCAUGGAACUGGGCUCAAAAGUCCAAAAAUUACUGUGAUAUCAGUUAGAAGCAGUUGAGCAGAGCUUGAAAAAAUUUUUUGAGGUGUUGAAAGUAUUCAAGGACCUUUUCUCCUAUCUAUCCAGGUUGAAAGUAACUGGCUAGACAAUUUAUCGAGCUAUAAUUUUUUUUUUUUUUGAGCACUGGUUAAUGAUAGGCACUGUUAAAACAGUGAUCCUAUAAAGUGGGCGGGACUUUCCCUCUUUUAAAUAUGCACGAAGAAAUCUGAGGCUCAAGCUUCUGCUUCCUCUAAAGGUGAUAUCAACCUGACAAUCCACUGAAUAUGCCCUAAUUAAAUGGAGACAGAAACAGGUAGGGAUGGCGGGGGAGGAACAUUGGCCUGCCAGGGGUUGAUGUCAUAAACCCUCUUGAAUGAAUGGAGAUAGUAAAGGCCUUCAAGAUACUUUAAGGAGUAGCUAAAAGGGAUCUCUGGAAUUCAUGGAGUAAAAGAUACUGCUGGCCUGGGAUCAAGGCAGAACCUGAAGCUAGGUUGAUUACAGGAAGCAAGGACCCAGCAGCCUGGAAUUGGGGAACAUCUGUGAAAGCAAGGGUUCUUCUUUAUUCAUCAUGAUUUGAUUACCUAGCAAGUGCCAAGCUAAGAAUAGAAAACAAGACAAAAUCUUUCCCCUCAAAAAUCCCUGAAACUAGAAAAGAACACACUACGUGAUUAUCAUUUCAAUAGAUAAUUUCAUUGACAGCACAGGAGCUUGUCAGACCUAGCAGAUGAUGGGCACUCAGUAUUUGGGUUGACUGAUGGAUAGUGUAUGUAUGACAAAGGCAAGACAUCUAACUCAAUUUGGGAAGGUUUUCCCAGAAAAGUUUAUGCCCAAGUAUAGUAUUAAGAAAUGGGACCUAAUCAGGUAAGACUGGAGAGUAGUGUCUGCUGACAAUACCCUUCUACCAUAACAGCAAAGUAAAGGGCAGAAGUGAGAGAAGAUAGUCCAUGUGAUUUAGCAGUCUAUGACAAGGUAAAGAAGGCACAUAGUACUUAAAUCAGGGGGGACAUAGCAGCACCUACAAAUC